rnacentral:rRNA from 1 species
UUGGAGGGCAAGUCUGGUGCCAGCAGCCGCGGUAAUUCCAGCUCCAAUAGCGUAUAUUAAAGUUGUUGCAGUUAAAAAGCUCGUAGUUGAAUUUCGGAAUCAGAUUGUCGGUCGUGCCUCGGUACGCACUGGCAUUAUUGGUUCCUACCUUCUGAAGAACCGCGAUGUCAUUAAUUUGGUGUUGCGGGGAAUUUGGACUGUUACUUUGAAAAAAUUAGAGUGUUUAAAGCAGGC